GGGCCGGUAGUGUCAACGCGAGCACGCGUGCCUUGCAAGCACGCAGACUGGGUUGAACUCCCAGCCGGUCCACCA
rnacentral:tRNA from 1 species